rnacentral:rRNA from 1 species
GAGUGAACGCUGGCGGUAGGCCUAACCCAUGCAAGUCGAACGGCAGCACAGUAAGAGCUUGCUCUUACGGGUGGCGAGUGGCGGACGGGUGAGGAAUACAUCGGAAUCUACUUUUUCGUGGGGGAUAACGUAGGGAAACUUACGCUAAUACCGCAUACGACCUACGGGUGAAAGCAGGGGAUCUUCGGACCUUGCGCGAUUGAAUGAGCCGAUGUCGGAUUAGCUAGUUGGCGGGGUAAAGGCCCACCAAGGCGACGAUCCGUAGCUGGUCUGAGAGGAUGAUCAGCCACACUGGAACUGAGACACGGUCCAGACUCCUACGGGAGGCAGCAGUGGGGAAUAUUGGACAAUGGGCGCAAGCCUGAUUCAGCCAUACCGCGUGGGUGAAGAAGGCCUUCGGGUUGUAAAGCCCUUUUGUUGGGAAAGAAAAGCAGCAGGUUAAUACCCCGCUGUUCUGACGGUACCCAAAGAAUAAGCACCGGCUAACUUCGUG